rnacentral:rRNA from 1 species
AUUGAACGCUGGCGGCAUGCUUUACACAUGCAAGUCGCACGAGUGGCGAACGGGUGAGUAAUAUAUCGGAACGUACCGAGUAAUGGGGUAUAACCAAUCUCAAGCUUGGCUCAUACCGCAUAUUCUUUGAUCGGCCGAUCACUGAUUAGCUAGUGGGGGGGGUAAAGGCCUACCAAGGCGACGAUCAGUAGCGGGUCGGAGAGGACGAGCCGCCACACUGGGACGGAGCCACGGCACAGACUCCGACGGGAGUCAGCAGUGGGGAAUUUUGGGCGAUGGGGGCAACCCUGAUCAAGACAUGCAGUGUGUAGGAAGAAGGCCGUAGGGAUGUAAAGUACUUGGGUUAGGGAAGAGGUACCUAAAGAAUAAGCACCGGCUAACUACGUGCCAGCAGCUGCGGUAAUUC